rnacentral:rRNA from 1 species
AGUGAACGCUGGCGGUAGGCCUAACACAUGCAAGUCGAACGGCAGCACAGGAGAGCUUGCUCUCUGGGUGGCGAGUGGCGGACGGGUGAGGAAUGCAUCGGAAUCUACUCUGUCGUGGGGGAUAACGUAGGGAAACUUACGCUAAUACCGCAUACGACCUACGGGUGAAAGCAGGGGACCUUUGGGCCUUGCGCGAUUGAAUGAGCCGAUGUCGGAUUAGCUAGUUGGCGGGGUAAAGGCCCACCAAGGCGACGAUCCGUAGCUGGUCUGAGAGGAUGAUCAGCCACACUGGAACUGAGACACGGUCCAGACUCCUACGGGAGGCAGCAGUGGGGAAUAUUGGACAAUGGGCGCAAGCCUGAUUCAGCCAUACCGCGUGGGUGAAGAAGGCCUUCGGGUUGUAAAGCCCUUUUGUUGGGAAAGAAAUCCAGCUGGCUAAUACCCGGUUGGGAUGACGGUACCCAAAGAAUAAGCACCGGCUAACUUCGUGCCAGCCGCCGCGGUAA